rnacentral:rRNA from 1 species
UACGUAGGGUGCAAGCGUUAAUCGGAAUUACUGGGCGUAAAGCGUGCGCAGGCGGUUAUGUAAGACAGAUGUGAAAUCCCCGGGCUCAACCUGGGAACUGCAUUUGUGACUGGCGGGCUAGAGUAUGGCAGAGGGGGGUAGAAUUCCACGUGUAGCAGUGAAAUGCGUAGAGAUGUGGAGGAAUACCGAUGGCGAAGGCAGCCCCCUGGGCCAAUACUGACGCUCAUGCACGAAAGCGUGGGGAGCAAACAGG